GGCUCACCAAGGCGACGAUCCCUAGCUGGUUUGAGAGGAUGAUCAGCCACACUGGAACUGAGACACGGCCCAGACUCCUACGGGAGGCAGCAGUGGGGAAUAUUGCACAAUGGGCGCAAGCCUGAUGCAGCCAUGCCGCGUGGGUGAAGAAGGCCUUAGGGUUGUAAAGCACUUUCCGUUGGGAGGAAAGGUUAGUAUUUAAUACCUGCUAGCUGUCACCUUACUUACAGAAAG
rnacentral:rRNA from 1 species